GGGGGCGUUCUUGGAUUCGACGGGGGUAGGUUGCGCAUGAGUAGCGGGUAGUGGGGUCGUCCACUAUACAACGCAAAGCCAAUAAUAACUGGCAAACAACAAACUAACUACGCUUUCGCAGCUUAAUAACCUGUGAGCGUGCUCUACCACUCCAUCGCCCAUGUGGCGUGACUAGGGCUCAACUUUAGUGGGAUACGCCGCUGGGUCUCCGUCUGGGGUCCACGGAAGAAGACAAUCAGACUAGUCUAAGCUGUGGUGGGUGACCUGGCAGCGGCUUAGGCGAAACAUUCACAGGUUACUACACCCGUAGAAGCUGAUGUGGCGAUAUCUUCGGACAGGGGUUCGACUCCCCUCGCCUCCA
rnacentral:tmRNA from 1 species